GAACCCAAGUAGCAACCGAAGCUUUUUUCUCCCAGUUUCAACCCCCUCAUGUCCACAAACUGCCUUCGCUUACUAUUCCUAUCCCGUUUCUACAUUCCACAACGUUUGUUGCGUUCUCGCUCAUCAGGGUGUUAGUCAAUUCUCUCUUGCCACACGAAGAGAAUUCUCCUGCACACUUCGUGUGUUGGAUUCUACCCAUCCCUGUUGAACACACGUCAUUUUCUUCCAUCGCACUCAUCAGGGUGUUUGCUCUUUUCCAUCCAAGCCAAAGAGCGACUUCAGUGUACUCUGAACCGUGGAUGUGAGAGUGUGUGUUUGUGUGCUGCGUGAACUAUUUUUCCUGCGUGAAACACUUUCCAUACUGCACCAUCCGCGGUGUUCUUUCUGCUUCGGAGGACGAAUUUUUAUCAUCUAAUUGUUUGGUUUCAGAUGUGUGCUGCUACCGCUAGCUGUUCCUCAAACUACUUAAAAAGUGUGACACUGUGUGCACAGGCGUUCAAGGUUCAAUUGAUCCUCGAGCACAAAGCCUUCAUACAACACCGCGGUUGAGGCGCGCCAAAUCUGAUGACAUCUUUCCUGAACCAAGCAGGCUGAACGCGCACACCACCACGGGCUCCAGCGCGGUGUGAAGAGGGAAGAAGAAAAGACAGAAUUGGAAACAGCCGCACCAGGCUUCCAACCACCGUGUGUGUGUAUGUAAGUAUGUGAGAACACAUGUGUGAAUCCUCUUGUGGGAACUGCAAAAAGAAGAGAAUAAAGAGUGUGAAGCAGCUAGACUGCCGCAACCAAAUCAA